AAGCCAGCUCCCAAGUGAAUUUCAGGGAGUCCAGUUUGUACAAACUGGGAAGGAAAACAAACUUGGGCAGGAGCAAAGAAGGCAGUCUGGAGGCUUUCUCUCUCUUCCAUCAAAUAUGGCCCAUACCCACCCUGCGUCAUGGGAGGCAGGAGAUGCCAGGGAUAUGUUUAUUUUACAAGUGACAAAGAACAAAGGAGCCUUUUCAAAAGUUUUGGGAGUCCUUGGAUUUGAGCCAAGUCCUGCUUACAGUGCAUGUUUAUUCCUGAGUGUCCAGAUAAAGAAUUCAUCAUUUUACCCAGAGGGAUGGACAAAAAGGAAAUUGUCCCCAGUCUACGGUACCCAGAGUGUCAGAGAGCUGGUGUGAAACCAGAAAAAGCCCACAGAUGACUCAUCCAGCUGGGGGAAGCUUCCUCCAGAUGCCAUGGGGAGAGGAAAGUCAACUCCACAUGCCUGGGAUGCUGCUAAGUUAGCCUAGCACCCAAGAAUCCAGACCAGAACAGCUGGUUUGGCGAAAGCACGAUGGGAUUUCCUCCCGUCCCCACUAAUUGGUUCUCUCAAACUUCAUUAAUGAAAACAGUACAAUAAAAGCCGUAAUGUGAGCAUAUUUGUUCCAAGGUUCUUCUUAACUGCACCCCCACCCCAAAUCUUUUACAUGUGUGUAGACUGUA